ACGCUAGCUACAGGCUUAACACAUGCAAGUCGAGGGGCAGCAUUUUAGUUUGCUUGCAAACUGAAGAUGGCGACCGGCGCACGGGUGAGUAACACGUAUCCAACCUGCCGAUAACUCCGGAAUAGCCUUUCGAAAGAAAGAUUAAUACCGGAUAGUAUACGAAUAUCGCAUGGUAUUUUUAUUAAAGAAUUUCGGUUAUCGAUGGGGAUGCGUUCCAUUAGUUUGUUGGCGGGGUAACGGCCCACCAAGACUACGAUGGAUAGGGGUUCUGAGAGGAAGGUCCCCCACAUUGGAACUGAGACACGGUCCAAACUCCUACGGGAGGCAGCAGUGAGGAAUAUUGGUCAAUGGGCGAGAGCCUGAACCAGCCAAGUAGCGUGAAGGAUGAAGGCUCUAUGGGUCGUAAACUUCUUUUAUAUGGGAAUAAAGUUUUCCACGUGUGGAAUUUUGUAUGUACCAUAUGAAUAAGGAUCGGCUAACUCCGUGCCAGCAGCCGCGGUAAUACGGAGGAUCCGAGCGUUAUCCGGAUUUAUUGGGUUUAAAGGGAGCGUAGGUGGAUUGUUAAGUCAGUUGUGAAAGUUUGCGGCUCAACCGUAAAAUUGCAGUUGAAACUGGCAGUCUUGAGUACAGUAGAGGUGGGCGGAAUUCGUGGUGUAGCGGUGAAAUGCUUAGAUAUCACGAAGAACUCCGAUUGCGAAGGCAGCUCACUAGACUGUCACUGACACUGAUGCUCGAAAGUGUGGGUAUCAAACAGGAUUAGAUACCCUGGUAGUCCACACAGUAAACGAUGAAUACUCGCUGUUUGCGAUAUACAGUAAGCGGCCAAGCGAAAGCAUUAAGUAUUCCACCUGGGGAGUACGCCGGCAACGGUGAAACUCAAAGGAAUUGACGGGGGCCCGCACAAGCGGAGGAACAUGUGGUUUAAUUCGAUGAUACGCGAGGAACCUUACCCGGGCUUAAAUUGCAACAGAAUAUAUUGGAAACAGUAUAGCCGUAAGGCUGUUGUGAAGGUGCUGCAUGGUUGUCGUCAGCUCGUGCCGUGAGGUGUCGGCUUAAGUGCCAUAACGAGCGCAACCCUUAUCUUUAGUUACUAACAGGUGAUGCUGAGGACUCUAGAGAGACUGCCGUCGUAAGAUGUGAGGAAGGUGGGGAUGACGUCAAAUCAGCACGGCCCUUACGUCCGGGGCUACACACGUGUUACAAUGGGAGGUACAGAAGGCGGCUACCUGGUGACAGGAUGCUAAUCCCAAAAACCUCUCUCAGUUCGGAUCGAAGUCUGCAACCCGACUUCGUGAAGCUGGAUUCGCUAGUAAUCGCGCAUCAGCCAUGGCGCGGUGAAUACGUUCCCGGGCCUUGUACACACCGCCCGUCAAGCCAUGAAAGCCGGGGGUACCUGAAGUACGUAACCGCAAGGAGCGUCCUAGGGUAAAACUGGUAAUUGGGGCUAA
rnacentral:rRNA from 1 species